rnacentral:rRNA from 1 species
UACGUAGGUGGCAAGCGUUGUCCGGAUUUAUUGGGUUUAAAGGGUGCGUAGGCGGUCUAUUAAGUCAGUGCUGAAAUAUCCCGGCUUAACCGGGAGGGUGGCAUUGAUACUGAUGGACUUGAGUGCAGUCGAGGUAGGCGGAAUUGACGGUGUAGCGGUGAAAUGCUUAGAUAUCGUCAAGAACACCGAUAGUGUAGACAGCUUACUAGGCUGUAACUGACGCUGAGGCACGAAAGUGUGGGGAUCAAACAGG